rnacentral:lncRNA from 1 species
GGUGGUGGGGCUUACGCAGUUGUAGUUGGGGGUGCAGCAGAGGACGCGUAUCCUGUAGUUGAGGCACAUCUUGAAUUUUCCAGUCUGGUCCUCGUUCUUGCACACCAGUCCAUAGUGGACGUCGCACUGCACGACCUGCCCCACCUGUUGGAUGGGAACGUCGGGGUAGUCCUCGGCCCGGCACUCGAUCUCCUUUGGACGCUGGCAGACGCGCUUCCCGGCGGCCCGGAUGUGCUGGUAGGUUUCGAAGUCUCCCUGGUUGGGCCCGGCGGAGGGGAAGUCGACGUCGAACCAUUCGCUCCAGGUGCAGACUUCGGGUUCACAGGGGGUGGUGGAUGUGGUGGAGCUCACGGUGGGAGUGGCUGUGGGAGGCGUUGGCGUGGGGCUGGUGGUGGUGGUGGAAGUGGACGUGGUUUCUGAGGAGGUGGGCAGCGUGGUGGAAGAGUGGAAGGUGGAGGUGGAGGUCGUGACUGAGGUGGAGGUUGGCAGCGUGCUGCUUGCCGUGGGCCUGCUGGUGGUGGUGGUGAUGGGGCUGGUGGUGGGGCUGGUGGUGGGGCUUACGCAGUUGUAGUUGGGGGUGCAGCAGAGGACGCGUAUCCUGUAGUUGAGGCACAUCUUGAAUUUUCCAGUCUGGGCCUCGUUCUUGCACACCAGUCCAUAGUGGACGUCGCACUGCACGACCUGCCCCACCUGUUGGAUGGGAACGUCGGGGGAGUCCUCGGCCCGGCACUCGAUCUCCUUUGGACGCUGGCAGACGCGCUUCCCGGCGGCCCGGAUGUGCUGUCUGGUCCUCGUUCUUGCACACCAGUCCAUAGUGGACGUCGCACUGCACGACCUGCCCCACCUGUUGGAUGGGAACGUCGGGGUAGUCCUCGGCCCGGCACUCGAUCUCCUUUGGACGCUGGCAGACGCGCUUCCCGGCGGCCCGGAUGUGCUGGAUGUUUUGCUCCAGGAGAGGAUAUGGUGUGUUAGGAAACCUCACUGCUCUGCAUUCCACAUCCCUUCUGUUAGCACAGACUUUGUAUCCUUUUUUUUUAAUGUUCUCAAUGGUGUCGAAAUCUCCAUCAUCAUAACCAGACCCUGGAUAAC